GAAGUAGGAAGAAGAAGAAGAAGAAGAAGAAGACGACGACGACUGCUCACCUGUCCCGUAGAGGUGGGUUUGAGGGGGUGGUGACAAUAAGACCUCCAAGUUAAGCUGUCGGCAGUCCAGUAAAGUCACACGUGUGUCUGUAGAGAAAUAAUUUUCCAAUAACUUGGACUUACCCGGUCAGGACGUGUGGUACCGCAAAAAAGAAGACCAAGAACCUCUCCCUGAACCCUGGGAGCAAUGGAUGUCUCCCGCCAUUUGUCACCUGUUCGGCUAUCUUUCCAUUGGUGAAGUGGCCCACAGAUCCUCACAGUGACCUUCCAUCAGCUUUUGAGUUGAUGUUUUUGACUAUGGAGAGAGGCAGACCUUCGCUUGCAGGAUAAAAGGCAGGGGUAGCGCCCCUCAAUCAUUCUGCCCUCCAGGAGGCGAGAGGAACGAGGGAUGAGAGAGAUGGGAGGCCUAGCAGGGUGCAGAGAUACGCGAGUUACCCCUGGGGAGGCUGCAGGGCCUGGGUCAGCCAUAUGGUGGCAGAAGCCCCUGGAGGAGCCAGCCCAAUAAGCUGGAUCAGCUUCAGCACUUCCUGACCGAGGCUUGGGCCACACCACCAAGCAGGUAAAUGAGGGGGGUGGUGGCAGCUACCCCUCAGCAGCAGGAACCACAGCAGCACCAUUAGGAGCCUGAGGGCAGAGAAAUGGAAAUGGUUUCAUCCAUGGCAUCUGCAGUGCUAAGGGAAAUUAAAGUCAAUGCUCUUAAAACUUACACUGAAGCUGCUGAGCCUCUCUGAUAAAAUACUCUUAAGUGAUAACUUGUUGAAUGAUAUGACUGCUUUUAUUUUCAAAAUAAAAUCUGUAA